UUAAGUUCAGCGGGUAUUCCUACCUGAUCCGAGGUCAACCUUGUGCCGCCGAGGCGGGCUUGUAGGGGGUUUAGAGGCUGGUGCCCAAGGGCUCCCGAUGCGAGGCGAAUGCUACUACGCAAAGGAAGGGCCGCUAGGGUCCGCCACUGAUUUUCAGGGCCUACGACAAGUCGUAGAUCCCCAACGCCGGGCCACUGGGG
rnacentral:misc_RNA from 1 species